GUGCCAGCCGCCGCGGUAAGACGAAGGUGGCGAGCGUUGUUCGGAUUCACUGGGCAUAAAGGGCGCGUAGGCUGUUCUGCAAGCGGCUUGUGAAAUCCUCUGGCUCAACCAGAGACGUGCGGGCCGGACUGCAGUACUUGAGGGUGGUAGGGGAGAGUGGAACUCUCGGUGGAGCGGUGAAAUGCGUAGAUAUCGAGAGGAACACCGGUGGCGAAGGCGACUCUCUGGUCCACCCCUGACGCUGAGGCGCGAAAGCGUGGGUAGCAAACAGGAUUAGAUACCCCGGUAGUCC
rnacentral:rRNA from 1 species